CAAACAUACUGAACUGAAAAUUCAAAAAAACACAUCAAACGAAUGGACAACAACUGUCAUAUUCCUGAACUGGAACUGGCAUUUUUUUUAGUUUCUAAAUUAUAAUAAUAAACCACGAUUAUACAAUUCUAUCAUCUACCAUGAACAUAAGGUUUGGACGAUAAAGUUAAAGAUAGUUUAGGUUUCUUGAAGCAUCGAGAUUAUCUAUAUCCUGAAUAUUUCGCAGUAGUCAUUUCGACAGCUACUAAAGGCUAGUGUUAUAUAGAUAAAGGAAGAUGUGGUAUGAGUGUAAAUGAGACAACUUUCCAUCCGAAUAACAAUGUAUAAAAGUAAACCUUUAUAGGUCAAUGUACGGUCUUCAACACGGAGUCUAGAUUCACACCGAACAACAAGCUAUAAAGGGCCCCAAAAUUACUAGUGUCAAACCAAUCAAACAGGAAAGCCAACGGUCUAAUCUAUAUAAAAAUCGAGACAGAAACGAGAAACACGUAUAAAUUACAUAAACAAACGACAACUACUGUACAUAAGAUUCUUGACCUAAGACAGGUGCAAGCAUUUGCAGCGGGGUUAAACGUUUGAAUGGUACCAAACAUUCUCCCUUUUUCUGAAACAAUAGUAUAAAAUAACAUCACAACAUAGAAAAAACACACGAUAAAAUAUAAUUGGAAGGCUUAACUCAAUCAAAAAACGUAAAUUAACACAAUGAAUCAGUAUUUAGUCCGUGUCAUGUUUCUCUGUUUUAAUAUCAAAUAUUUAAACCAACAAAAUUAAAUCUAUACUUUAUUCAUUAUAUUGUUCAGUAGUACUUUUAUUAAUGAAAAGUCAUCAGAAAUGUUCAAAUAUCUUUAGCCAAGAAUGUAUCGAAACACGCCAAGAGCUAUAUAACCAAAAUCAACCUUAAACGAUAGUUAAAUACAACUAAGGUCAACUUUGGCUAAUGGAGUUGGAAGCUUUUAUUUAGUUUCUUAAUAGUUAUAAAUGUACAAACAUACAAUAAAAAAAACUGCAGCGUGCCGUACGGCUUUCGACACUGGGAAACACACACACUGCCUCAAAAUUUUGACAUAACAAAACACAUGAAACAUGUAACAUUUCAAAUAAAAACAGCAUGAAUGAUGAAAAAGAAAAAAAAAUAACAAGGAUGUUUGAAACACAACAUUGAAAAGAAAGGAUUUUUCUGUGAAGCAUUUGAAGUUUGUCAAAAUAGACGUUAUCCUUUAUAAGUUAUGCGUCUUGAUUUUUUAAUCAAGGAAAAAAAUUGCAUAUAAAUUACAGUGUAGUUUGUUAUGUUUUGAAGCUGAAACUUACUAUUGAUCGACUUCCGUGACAUUGCAAACGCUUGUUAAAAAGUAGAGAUGUCAACUCGGGAACAUACCAACCAACACGGAAACACAAAUGUUUAACGUUCUAUGGAUUAUUGUUAAAAAAACAUCUAC
rnacentral:lncRNA from 1 species